rnacentral:rRNA from 1 species
UUUAAGCUUCCUACGGGAGGCUGCAGUGGGGAAUCUUGCGCAAUGGGCGAAAGCCUGACGCAGCCAUGCCGCGUGAAUGAUGAAGGUCUUAGGAUUGUAAAAUUCUUUCACCGGGGACGAUAAUGACGGUACCCGGAGAAGAAGCCCCGGCUAACUUCGUGCCAGCAGCCGCGGUAAUACGAAGGGGGCUAGCGUUGCUCGGAAUUACUGGGCGUAAAGGGAGCGUAGGCGGACAUUUAAGUCAGGGGUGAAAUCCCGGGGCUCAACCUCGGAAUUGCCUUUGAUACUGGGUGUCUUGAGUAUGAGAGAGGUGUGUGGAACUCCGAGUGUAGAGGUGAAAUUCGUAGAUAUUCGGAAGAACACCAGUGGGGAAGGCGACACACUGGCUCAUUACUGACGCUGAGGCUCGAUUUAAAGGGGAGCAAACAGGAUUAGAUACCCUUGUAGUCGAAUUCUU